GACGAACGCUGGCGGCGUGCCUAAUACAUGCAAGUAGAACGCUGAAGAGAGGAGCUUGCUCUUCUUGGAUGAGUUGCGAACGGGUGAGUAACGCGUAGGUAACCUGCCUUGUAGCGGGGGAUAACUAUUGGAAACGAUAGCUAAUACCGCAUAACAAUGGAUGACACAUGUCAUUUAUUUGAAAGGGGCAAUUGCUCCACUACAAGAUGGACCUGCGUUGUAUUAGCUAGUAGGUGAGGUAAUGGCUCACCUAGGCGACGAUACAUAGCCGACCUGAGAGGGUGAUCGGCCACACUGGGACUGAGACACGGCCCAGACUCCUACGGGAGGCAGCAGUAGGGAAUCUUCGGCAAUGGGGGCAACCCUGACCGAGCAACGCCGCGUGAGUGAAGAAGGUUUUCGGAUCGUAAAGCUCUGUUGUAAGUCAAGAACGGGUGUGAGAGUGGAAAGUUCACACUGUGACGGUAGCUUACCAGAAAGGACGGCUAACUACGUG
rnacentral:rRNA from 1 species